rnacentral:rRNA from 1 species
CGGGGGGGGGCCUACACAUGCAAGUCGAGCGAGACCUUCGGGUCUAGCGGCGGACGGGUGAGUAACGCGUGGGAACGUACCCUUUUCUGCAGGAUAGCCACUGGAAACGGUGAGUAAUACUGCAUACGCCCUUCGGGGGAAAGAUUUAUCGGAGAAGGAUCGGCCCGCGUUAGAUUAGGUAGUUGGUGGGGUAAUGGCCUACCAAGCCUACGAUCUAUAGCUGGUUUGAGAGGAUGAUCAGCCACACUGGGACUGAGACACGGCCCAGACUCCUACGGGAGGCAGCAGUGGGGAAUCUUAGACAAUGGGGGCAACCCUGAUCUAGCCAUGCCGCGUGAGUGAUGAAGGCCUUAGGGUCGUAAAGCUCUUUCGCUGGGGAAGAUAAUGACGGUACCCAGUAAAGAAACCCCGGCUAACUCCGUGCCAGCAGCCGCGGUAAU